GAUGAAGAACGCAGCGAAAUGCGAUAAGUAAUGUGAAUUGCAGAAUUCAGUGAAUCAUCGAAUCUUUGAACGCACAUUGCGCCCGCCAGUAUUCUGGCGGGCAUGCCUGUCUGAGCGUCAUUUCAACCCUCAUGCCCCUAGGGCGUGGUGUUGGGGAUCGGCCAAAGCCCGCGAGGGACGGCCGGCCCCUAAAUCUAGUGGCGGACCCGUCGUGGCCUCCUCUGCGAAGUAGUGAUAUUCCGCAUCGGAGAGCGACGAGCCCCUGCCGUUAAACCCCCAACUUUCCAUGGUUGACCUCAGAUCAGGUAGGAAUACCCGCUGAACUUAAGCAUAUCAAUAAGCGGAGGA
rnacentral:misc_RNA from 1 species